AAAGAAAGGUAAAGAGAAGAAGAAAAUAAGAAAAGAAAGGACAGGACAAGGAAGUGCUAACGCAACUGCACCCAUAUUCAGAAAUCAUCCUACUAAUUAAUACAAAGAUGAAAGAGAAGAAAACAACAUGAAAGUCUGGAAAGGAAGCAUAUUGCUACCCACUACCAAAAGUAAUUUGUUAGUGACCUUACUUGCGCAAACUGUGAACACCAGGGUUACCUAUCUUAUCAGAUGGGAGCAAAUAAAAUCUGAGCCUUAUUUUAUCUGAACAAUGCCUUCAGUUUGGUAAGACUCAGACAUAAUUUUGAAGACAAUAUUAGCCAGUGCUGCUGCAGACCUUUGACAUUAUCAAGAGUACCAGCUAACUGGAGACACAUGUCAGAAGACGCUAUUGGGAGUGGACUUGGCAGUGUUGGGAUAACAACUGGACUCAAUGAUCAUAAAGUUACUUCACCUCUGACAUUUCAAGAAAGGACAUGAAAGCAAGACUUUACGAUAGCAUCUAUUGUUCUUGAAGGUCAAGAUUUUCUUUGAGCAGUGAAAGCGAGGUGGAAAGCGAUCAUUACAGUCUUUACUGUGCCUAAAAACUCUUUGAUUUUGUUCAACAUUUGCCAUUUUCCAGACACUCAGACCAGAAGAGUACAUAAGGAUCUGCCAUUCUAGACAGUUCCUCUGUAUUAGCAACAGGUAAUUUUACAGCUGCCAUGUAUGAGAUCAUCAAUUUAGUCUGUGUAGCUGAGAUAGUAAAUGCUUGCUACCUAUGCCUUUAAUUGUUUGCAUGCCCAGUUUCACAAAACCUAUUCUUUAAUCAGACACAGAUAUAUAUUUAUUCUGGAGGUAUUUCUAUGAGGCACUAUCUUUUCUCAUCUUUGAUUCACAGUACUGUGCUCUGGUCACUCUCUCAUAAGUAGUCUCUCUGUUAGCUUGUCCUCUUUACCUUUCCAGUUUUGCUAAGUCUGAAGGUUUGGUCUGCUCUGAUCAUUUAUGAGAUGCAGAAUCUAAGAUGCUUUUUUUAUCUUCCUGCACAUUUAUAAAUCUCUACCUGUUCAACUGCUUUCAGAAUUACAAUGCUGCAGACUUGCCCUUGAUUAUACUUAAAAUUGCUUAGUCACUAGACUUUACAGCAGCUGGAUCUCAUUAAUUAAGUUUAAUAUUAUAAAAUCAUACAAUACAGAUCACAAUUCAAUUGUGACUAACAAAUACUAUAAAUUUCAUGUAUUAAAAUAAUUCAGAUAAAUACAAAUAUGGAUAAGGUAAUGACAUAAUAAUUCAUACUAAAUUGUAAUAGUGGAAUUUCCAUAGGUGAAACUGAGUUAAAGAAAAAAAUAUGACACCCUUAUAGCUUAAAGUAGCAUAGUUUUGCCACUAAAAUCUGAGACCUAUGAACCUUUUAUACAAUUUAAAAGAAUAUAUUUCUUAAUUACUUUUCUAUUUAAUUUCUAUUUCACAGGUUCAUGUUAACAAUAUGGAAGCAACAAUUAUACAAAGCAGUGUAUAGAUUUAAUUCUACAAAUCCUGUGUCAAAACACAUCACUGCCAUGAAAACAAUAAGCGAGAAAUCUGUAAGGCUUAAAGAUGCAGAAUAUUACAUUUAAGUUGGAAAAGAAGUGGAAAAAUGUGCAAUAAUUUAAUUCAGAUUGAAUAUUUUCAUAUUCAGAUUAUUAUUCCUGACUGUAAAACACUGUCAUGGGCUAUAAAUGCAAGGAAUUAAAGUACCAGUGUUCAUUUUUUUACAGCAUACAGAGCCAUGGAUCAAUACUUAUCUAUUUAUAGCUAUUUGUAUAGUUUUCCAAUUUGACCUAAAAAUAUAAUUAAUCUAAAAUUGUAUUGUAUAGUAUAUUUAGAUAUGCUAUCCUAUACAGAUCUUGUUGCUAUAUAUAGUUGGAAAUUUAUAAGCUGAGAGAGAGAAAAUAAAAUCUUACUUCAACAUGUAUGUUUGUGCUGUAAAAACUACAAAAUCUCUUACAGACCAGUAUAGAGAAAGCAAAGAUUAUUUUUCCUUUCCUUACUUAGAAAUUAGAGCUUGUAUUUUUUCUUCUAUUUCUAAUGCAGAUCUCAAAAAGUUUUACUGUAUGUAUUUUUUCUGAGAUUGAUUCCAAGUUUCUUUUUCAUUAAAUUUUUUGAAGUAAAUAUGAAAUAACUAAGACUGAGAAUAGCACAAAAAUCUUUGAAGUGUGUGUGAUGAUGAAGACAAGACUGAUUUACAGAUGAUCUUUUUUCUAGACACGGUACUGGAUGCAGUAGGGCAUUUGAAAAUUUUUUUCUUAUCAAUUUGAUUGUGUAAAUUACAGAGAGGUCAAUUAAAAAAAUAGACAAGUGGUCUAACCAGUGUGCAAAUUCUGACAGUCAAAAAAUUAUUUGAUUGCUGAAAUUGUUAAUUGGAGAAUAAAUCCUGUACAUUUAUUAAAUAAGUUAAAUUUUUGUCUGUUUUCAUUUGAGAAAGUGGACUCAGUGUGGGAAAUAAAGAUUGAAUUUGUCCUCAUUCAAGAUGAAUAACUAGCAAAUUUCAAUAAGUGUAAAGCAAAAAAAAAUUCACAUUGAAUCUAAAGUCUAAUGAAUCAAACAUAAGAGUCCACUAAAUUAAUCUUGUAAUUGGACUAUGCAUCAGUAUACAGAAGAUCAUAGUAUUUUAAAAUUGAUCAGGAGUGGUUCUGAGAGAUUAGACCAGGUGAACUAAAACUCUUUCAUACUACUGUAUCUGAGGUUGACAUCCUAAGACAGAUAUUACAGUUGAAGACCACCUUAGAUGCACUGAAAUAUAAAUUAUCUUACACAAGAUGGAACAUGACAAAAUACAUACAUUUAAAACUAUAACUUACACCAAACAUGCAGAGGUAAUAUGAUUUAUGUGUAGAAACUGCUUAAAUGUAACACUGGGUAUUGGAAUUCUGUAUUAAUUUAUACAUAACAUUCAGACUAACUUUUGGAGGAAUUUUAAAUAGUUGUUAUACAUAAGGUUCUCUAAAAUAGUCUUCUGACUGCUAAGUGUAAAUAAUAUUUGAGAUGUUUGACAGUGUUGUGAAUAAUGUCUAUGUGAACAAGUAAACUUAUUGCAAUUUGUAGUAAAAUUUCGCUAACUACAAGGGCAAUAAAAAUCUAGUGCAGUUAUGCAUAUAAAUUAGAUGUUUUGCAUCUCCAAUUUAUUAAAUUGCAAUAUUUUAAUUACUUGUACAAUAAAUUGCAUAAUUAUGUAAUGAGAACCAGGAGUAAUUAUGUUAAUUGUUGCUUGCCAUUGUAUAUCAAAGAGGAGAAAGUAUUUUCUUGACAAAGCCAUUUUGCAGAAGUGUUAUUUUGCAUGGAGGUGCUAGAAAAUAUCCAUAAUUAAAGUAGUGUCAAAAUUUAUAUUUAUAAUUCUUUAUUUAGCUAUGACUGAAUUCAACAAUUCUUUCUAUUAUUUUGGAUGGCUUUUGGAGUGGUUUCCAAAUAAAAUUAGGACUUAUUAAAAUCCUUAAAAAUUAAUUAGACUGUUCCCUCCUCUCCUCUCCUUUGUGUUCUUUUACAAAAUGCAGAGCCAUCAA